rnacentral:rRNA from 1 species
AAAUUGAAGAGUUUGAUCAUGGCUCAGAUUGAACGCUGGCGGCAGGCCUAACACAUGCAAGUCGAGCGGUAGCACAGAGAGCUUGCUCUCGGGUGACGAGCGGCGGACGGGUGAGUAAUGUCUGGGAAACUGCCUGAUGGAGGGGGAUAACUACUGGAAACGGUAGCUAAUACCGCAUAACGUCGCAAGACAAAGUGGGGGACCUUCGGGCCUCAUGCCAUCAGAUGUGCCCAGAUGGGAUUAGCUAGUAGGUGGGGUAACGGCUCACCUAGGCGACGAUCCCUAGCUG